rnacentral:rRNA from 1 species
GUAGGGAAUAUUGGGCAAUGGAUGCAAGUCUGACCCAGCCAUCCCGCGUGCCGGAAGAAGGCCCUCAGGGUUGUAAACGGCUUUUGACGGUGAAGAAUCGACAGGAUGCGUCCUGUUUUGACGGUAGCCGUUGAAUAAGCACCGGCUAACUCCGUGCCAGCAGCCGCGGUAAUACGGAGGGUGCGAGCGUUGUCCGGAUUUAUUGGGUUUAAAGGGUGCGUAGGCUGGAAGGUCAGUCAGCGGUGAAAAGCUGUCGCUUAACGAUAGUCUGGCCGCAGAUACUUCCUUUCUUGGAUGAGGAGGAGGCCACUGGAACGGAUGGUGUAGCGGUGAAAUGCAUAGAUAUCAUCCAGAACACCGAUUGCGAAGGCAGGUGGCUGUACCUUAAUCGACGCUGAUGCACGAAAGCAUGGGGAGCAAACAGGAUUAGAAACCCGAGUAGUCC